AUUGAACGCUGGCGGCAGGCCUAACACAUGCAAGUCGAGCGAGCGGCGGACGGGUGAGUAAUGAAUGGGGAUCUGCCUGAUGGAGGGGGAUAACUACUGGAAAAGGUAGCUAAUACCGCAUACCAUCGGAUGUGCCAAGAGGGGAUUAGCUAGUAGGUGGGGGAACGGCUCACCUAGGCGACGAUCCCUAGCGGGUCUGAGAGGAUGAACCGCCACACUGGAACUUGGACACGGUCCAGACGCCUACGGGAGGCAGCAGUGGGGAAUAUUGCACAAUGGGCGCAAGCCUGAUGCAGCCAUGCCGCGUGUGUGAAGAAGGCUCUAGGGUUGUAAAGUACUUUCAGUCGGGAGGCGUUACCGACAGAAGAAGCACCGGCUAACUCCGUGCCAGCAGCCGCGGUAAUUC
rnacentral:rRNA from 1 species